UCCUACGGGAGGCAGCAGUAAGGAAUAUUGGACAAUGGAGGCAACUCUGAUCCAGCCAUCCCGCGUGCAGGAUGAAUGCCCUUUGGGUUGUAAACUGCUUUUACUAGGGAAGAAAGGUAGUCAUUUAUGAUUAUUUGACGGUACCUAAAGAAUAAGCACCGGCUAACUCCGUGCCAGCAGCCGCGGUAAUACGGAGGGUGCAAGCGUUAUCCGGAUUUACUGGGUUUAAAGGGUGCGUAGGCGGCUUAUUAAGUCAUAGGUGAAAGGCAUCGGCUUAACCGAUGGAUUGCCUGUGAUACUGGUGAGCUUGAAUUGGGUUGAGGUUGGCGGAAUGUGACAUGUAGCGGUGAAAUGCAUAGAUAUGUCAUAGAACAUCGAUUGCGAAGGCAGCUGACUGGACCUUGAUUGACGCUGAGGCACGAAAGCGUGGGUAGCGAACAGGAUUAGAUACCCUGGUAGUCCACGCCCUAAACGAUGCUCACUCGAUAUUUGCUUUACGGAGUAAGUGUCCAAGCGAAAGCGUUAAGUGAGCCACCUGGGGAGUACGUUCGCAAGGAUGAAACUCA
rnacentral:rRNA from 1 species